CAGCCGCCGCGGUAAUACGGAGGGUGCAAGCGUUAUCCGGAUUCACUGGGUUUAAAGGGUGCGUAGGCGGAUCUGUAAGUCAGUGGUGAAAUCUCCAGGCUUAACCUGGAAACUGCCGUUGAUACUAUAGGUCUUGAAUUUUGUGGAGGUUAGCGGAAUAUGUCAUGUAGCGGUGAAAUGCAUAGAUAUGGCAUAGAACACCAAUUGCGAAGGCAGCUGGCUACACAACUAUUGACGCUGAGGCACGAAAGCGUGGGGAUCAAACAGGAUUAGAUACCCCAGUAGUCCCUGUCUCUUAUAC
rnacentral:rRNA from 1 species